GUUUCCUGCAACAAGCGGCACAUAUACUAAAAUUGGAUCGAUACAGAGAAGAUUAGCAUGGCCCCUGCGAAAGAUGACACGCAAAUCCGUGAAGAGCUCCAUCUUUUU
rnacentral:snRNA from 1 species